rnacentral:lncRNA from 1 species
CGGGUUUGAAGCAGACGCCGCCGGCCUUGGUGCGCACGAAAUACUCGGUGGUGUCCUCGGGCAGCACCAAGUCCACCCGGUGGAGCUCCUCGGCCGCCUUGCUGGGCGGCAGCGGCUGCAGCAGGGGCGAGUGGGAGUAGAGUGGGGUACGCAGCAGGUCAGGGCCUCCUGGCUCGGGGCUGGCCUGGGGCGUGACCGGGGCAUUGUUCCAGAAAAAGCUGGACACCAGGUUAGGGCUGAGGGAGGCCAGUUCUCGGGGGAAGGUGACAUAGGACAGGGUCUUGAAGAAGUGCAGGAAGGAGAUGAGGCACAGGCCGGCCAUACAGAACAUGAGAAAGAGCUUGUAGCGUCUCAUCUUCAUCCUGCGGGAGAGAGAGAGACAGGAGACUCAUCAGGGCAGCCCAGGCUCCUUUCCUAGGAAGGGGACCUAGGAGGCCUCUGCUGCCACCUUGCUGGACAAUGUGGUGGCCAGCACCUGCUGCCCCUGCAUGGAGUGACCUCCUGCCCCCAAGAGUCAACUCGCGGUACCAAGGCCCCUGAAAGCCCCAGCACUGAGGACACCGCCGUGCUCCCAUAGCCCUUCCCUGAGAUCCCCAGGCCACCACCCUGCCCCCUCUGCAGCCUGCUUCUCCGCCUGGCCCACCCCACCCUGACUGUGCGGCUGCACUGCUAGGCUUGGCUCCAGGAGUAACAUGCGCCUUGGGAAAAGCUCAACUCGCAGUACAGACUCCGCCCCAGGACAGAACGGGGAGAGCAGGCUGUAGGCUGCCCUCCUGGGUCCUGUCCCUC